AAUCAAUGAACCAAUGAACUGUACAAUGCCCUUGAUCACUUUUAGCUAAGUUACUUGAUUUUUCAUUUUCUUUUAUCUCGCUGUCGCUGAAUAGGAUAUAUGAUUCUAUAUAUUAUAUAUGGCGUUUCCGAUUUCAGGUUCAUGCUUGGUGAAAAAGCAUAUAACAUGCUUGGCGAAAAGGCAUAGAUGGUAGUUAGGAAUAUGAUUACCAGAAAAGUAAGGGAAUUCAAAACACAUGGGUGGUGGUGGGUUUAGGACCCUCUCUAGAGAAUAUGGUUCCUGGGAUUGGGAUUCCCUUCCUACCAUCCAAAUAUGAUGUACGUGAUCACACCUAGAUGAUUUACACAAGGCCUUGAAGCUUUAUGAAGAAGAACAGGUAGCAGCUGGAUCCUAAACAAUUUUUUUUGGCAAACACUUGGAGGUAAUUCUGAUGGAAAGAAAAACCUUUAAAUCUGGCCGCUCAACUUAUUCAAAUCUUCAUCUGCUUUCAAACUACAUAACCUUUAAAUAUGGAGUGGGUCAUAUUCUUUGUUAUUUGCGGCUGUUCGAUGCAAGUUUUUUUUUUACAUAGUUUCUGGAUCAUUUUCCUCAUCUUUCAGAGCACUUUAAACACGCACCUGCUGUAGCUUAUUUGGGACGUCUCGCAGCUGAUUUAUGGGCGAUGGACGAAGUGAUUUUUCCUCCAAACAUAUUCAUAUUCGAUUGGAUUCUUAUCUUGGAAUUUAAGGGUUCAGAUGUAUUCUGGAGAACACCACAACCCUGAGUAUUUUAUGAAAUGGUAUCUGCUGUCUUAGCUCAAACAGAAGAGCACAUGGUUCUCAACCAUGUAGUUGUGGUUGACUCCUACAGAUGGCAUUAUAUGUGAGUAGGCAGCGCUGUAUACUGCCAAUGGUUUCGUUAUUUGAUUCUCUCGGAGUGGGACUCCAACAUAAGAUUUGGAUGAAUAAUAAACUCUUGGCUAUACUCUUGAGGUUUUGUUCUUGAAGAAGCACGAUUCUUCUGUCAGCGCAUAUUCAACCAGAUGAAGUUUUGCUACAGAGUUCUUCAUUUAAUUCUGAUAGGUGCACUGUGGUUUCAUUCAGUUUUUGAAGGGAUAACCAUUGGAAUUGCAGGUAUUCUACUAACCGUUGCAAUAUGCAACUGGACAAGACGUUCACCUACUUAGAAAUGAUCCUGGGCUUGAUUGAGGGUGGAGAGUGGUUCCACAUGGUACAUAAGAAAUGCACUAAAAAAGUUGAUUAUGAUGAUGAGUCUUCCUGCAGCAAGUGCAAAAAAGAUUUUGAAGAAGUGCCAUGGCAAUUGUAAUCCACAAAUUAAACCUAGCCGCAAGGGAUGCCACAUCAACUGCGGUAUUUACUGUGAUGGGAGAGACUGCGGAAAAAAAUGGCGGAAAGUAGAUUAGAUGCACUGCUGAUGAACAUGUUAAUUACAAGGUACACUGCAGCGAGGUAUGCACAAAUUAGCAUGGAUAAUUGUUAUGAUUGAAUGGAUGUUGUACGGUGGAAUCAUGUUCACCAAGUUAUAUUGUCUAAUUGGAGGUCAACUAAGCAGAGCAGGCAGAAAGUUGAUUUAACAAGAUCAAGAUGAAACUCUUAUUUUCAAAUUGGUCAUUAAGGAGUGCAGUAUAACCAACCAAUCUGGCAAAUUCACAGUUCUAAAAUUUUUCGAAGUCAAUUAAUUUUGAAUCGAAAGAUUCAGAUUCGGUUGUAGAUAACAAGGUACAACAUUAUUUAGGCACGGUAUGAUACGGAUUUCGUCCUGUCCACAGGAUCCAGACGCAGAAAAUGUUGUGCCACCUAUCAAGGAGAAAGAGGAAAAAGUUAAGAGAGGAAGGAAGAGGAAACCAACAAUCAAAGUUGGAGUAACAGCAUGAAAGCACCAAGGACACCAGUCAAAACCGGUCAAAGCCGGAUAACUAUCAGGGAGACGGGCUUCAAGAUGUCAUCCCAAGAAUCUUCCAAAUAAGAGAUAAAGAUAGUUGAUCCAUGAAUAUUCGAUCUUUCUGUUUGCCAAGCUCGACCUUUCGGGGGAGAAACCAAGGCCUUCGGACUGCAAAUUUAAAUUACCUCAAGGAGUUGUAAAUUACCACUGGACCAAGUGUUGUUCUAUGUAUACUUUUAACCAAGGAAUAUAGGAUGGCGUAGGACUGAGUGUGCAUAAAAAAAAUCAAAAAUAGGCUAAAUACAUUUGGUGAAUAAGAAUCUUAAAUUUCUAUGUAUACUUUUAACCUACAAAAAACUGAUGAUUUUUCUAAGUUUAAACCGU